AAUGAACGCUGGCGGCGUGCCUAACACAUGCAAGUCGAGCGGAUGAAGGGAGCUUUCUCCUCGAUUCAGUGGCGGACGGGCGAGUAAUUCCUAGGAAUAUGCCUGGCCGUUGGGGAUAACGUCCGGUAACGGGACCUGAUACCGUAUACGACCUGAUGGUGAAAGUCGGGGGUCUUCGGACCACAACGUUUCAGAUGAGCCUAGGUCGGAUUAGCUAGUUGGUCUGGUAAAGGGCUACCAAGGCGACGAUCCGUAACUGGGCUGAGAGGAUGAUCCGGCACACUGGAACUGAGACACGGUCCAGACUCCUACGGGAGGCAGCAGUGGGGAAUAUUGGACAAUGGGCGAAAGCCUGAUCCAGCCAUGCCGCGUGUGUGAUGAAGGUCUUCGGAUUGUAAAGCUCUUUAAUUUGGGAGGAAGGUCAGUAAGUUAAUACCUUGCUAUUUUGACGUUACCAACAGAAUAAGCACCGGCUAACUUCGUG
rnacentral:rRNA from 1 species